rnacentral:rRNA from 1 species
AUUGAACGCUGGCGGCAGGCCUAACACAUGCAAGUCGAGCGAGCGGCGGACGGGUGAGUAAUGUCUGGGAAACUGCCUGAUGGAGGGGGAUAACUACGGGAACGGGUGGUAAAUCCCGCUUACCACGGGAGUUGCCAGGAUGGGAUUAGUUAGUAGGGGGGGUAACGGCUCACCUAGGCGACGAUCCCUAGCUGGUCUGAGAGGAUGACCAGCCACACUGGAACUGAGACACGGUCCAGACUCCUACGGGAGGCAGCAGUGGGGAAUAUUGCACAAUGGGCGCAAGCCUGAUGCAGCCAUGCCGCGUGUAUGAAGAAGGCCUUCGGGUUGUAAAGUACUUUCAGCGGGGAGGCGUUACCCGCAGAAGAAGCACCGGCUAACUCCGUGCCAGCAGCCGCGGUAAUAC